rnacentral:tRNA from 1 species
GCCUGGGUGGCUCAGUUGGUUGAGCAUCCGACUUCAGCUCGGGUCAUGAUCUCGCAGUUUGUGGGUUUGAGCCCCUCAUUGGGCU